CUUUGGGAACAGUCUCUAUAUACCUUUUUGUAACAUGGUCUUUUUCACAUAUUUAUUGAACAUUGAGUGUAUGCAGUAAUCUAAGCCUAGCAAGAAGUGUUGCACAGAAUUGGUCUCUUCCCAGGAAGCCAUUUUCAGGAGUCUCUACCUUCACCUCACAUCUCUGAGGCUGACAAGUUGGGGAGGCUGGAACAAGAGCCUCUCACACCCUUUCACCUCUUUGUGGGAGGUAGCAGGUCCCCUUCUGGUGACCUUCCCUCCUGCUCCCCAUCCCAGGUUGGCUGGGAAUGGUUUAAGGGGGACCUUUCCAGGGCCAUUUACAUUUUAAUCACAAGACCUGAGAAAGCUAACUCGUGGAAUUUCAGACAUCAGAACUGCCAUGGAGGAAACCCGAUCAUUUGAUGUUAGGCAGCCCUGAGUUUGAGUCUUAGCUUUGCCACUUUUUAAAAGUUUGUGUCUUUGGGAGAAAUGUUUAAUCUCACCAAGCCUCCAGUUAUUCUGAGGAUUAAUUUAAAAGAAUGGCUGUAUUUCAAAUACUCAUCAGAAGAUUUGGUUUAGACUAGGCACCCAGUAAGAAUGAUGUUCUUUUCUCAUUAAUAGUAUUUAUUUACAGUGGAGUACACUGGGAUCUGAACCUGCUUUGCUGAUUGACCUCUGCCAAGUACCUGCCCGUCUCUGGGCAAUGAGGCUUGAGCUAGAUGUAUUGCCUCCUCUGAGAACCUGGGACUGCCAAGUGCAGGGCGUGAUGGAAGCCCAAUGCCAGAGGAUGGCAUGGUGCACGUGUGUGUGUGUGUAUGUGUGUGUGUGUGUUUUCGGGGAUAAUGAGUAUAUGUGGGUCCUUUUGCACUGGGUGGAUGGAGCUGUUACUCCCAGAAACCCCCAAAUCAGUGUAGACAGAGAGCCAUGGCAAUCACUUCAGAGUUUGGGAAAACCUGGGAGGCAGGCAGGGAGACCAGUCUGCAGAAGACAAAGGUUGAGUUGCCAGUGAGUGCUGGUUGCUCCCUUUCCUUCCCUGGGCUGCUGGGAAGGUGCAAGGCGGCUAGGUGGGUCAGGGUGAACCCUCAGCAACUCUAUCUCCGUGGAAAAGGGAAUGGCAGGCUCAGGCCUCCUGCGGGAUGCUGGCAGGCAGCCAGGCCUCGCUGUUGAUGUUCCACAGCUAAAUUGGGUCCAGCUGUUGCCCUGGAAUCUGAUAUUAACAAAUGUGUUCCCAGGGCAGCCCUGAGCUUGCAGCCCAGUUUUGGUAGUUUUAGAGGGCCCUGGGCCCACUGGACCCCAUGUGGGUCAUUCCUUCUGUGGGCAGUGUUCCCCAGCUGGGCUGGUAUAUGGCCAGGUUAUCAUAUUCAUCAAGUAUCUGGUCAAGAUGAUGGGCUGGUCUCUUUCAAAGGCUAUUAUGUGCCAAUACCUAAGUCAAUACUCACAGUGCUCCUGCAGGGUAGGCUGUAUUAUCUGCUCAGAGCUACUGCUGAAUAACCUGAUGGAGGGCAUGACGGCAGAGGCUGGUGGGUCCACAGUUUAAACCCAGGUCUGGCUGACUCCAGUUACCAUAGCAAGGACCACACUGGGAGUUUAAACAGCAGGAACAUAGUCCACUCCUGGAGGCUGGAAGCCUGAGGUCAAGUCCGAGUCGGAGGGCUGAUUCCUUCUAAGGCCAGUGAGGAAGCAGUGCUCCGGGCCUCUCUCCUUGCCUCACAGAUUGGCGUCUUCUUCCUGUGAAUCUUCGCAGCCCCUUUCCUCUAUGUGUGUUCUCCUCUGGGUCCAAAUCUCCCCUUUAUAUAAGGCCACCAGUCAUAUUGGAUUAGGACCACCCUAAUGAUUUUGUCUUAACUCACUUUCUCUACUACCACCCUAUUCCCAAAUAAGGUCACACUCUGAGGUACUGGUGGUUGGGACAUCACUAUAUCAGUUAUGUAUUAGUUGCUCAGUCAUGUCUGACUCUUUGUGACCGCAUGGACUGUAGCCAGCCAGGCUUCUCUGUCCGUGGAAUUCCCCAGGC